rnacentral:rRNA from 1 species
GACGAACGCUGGCGGCGUGCUUAACACAUGCAAGUCGAGCGGUAGGGCCCUUUCGGGGGUACACGAGCGGCGAACGGGUGAGUAACACGUGGGUGACCUGCCCUCAGCUCUGGGAUAAGCCUGGGAAACUGGGUCUAAUACCGGAUAUGACUCCAUGACGCAUGUUGUGGGGUGGAAAGCCUUGUGCGGCUGAGGAUGGGCCCGCGGCCUAUCAGCUUGUUGGUGGGGUGANGGCCUACCAAGGCGACGACGGGUAGCCGGCCUGAGAGGGCGACCGGCCACACUGGGACUGAGACACGGCCCAGACUCCUACGGGAGGCAGCAGUGGGGAAUCUUGCGCAAUGGGCGAAAGCCUGACGCAGCGACGCCGCGUGAGGGAUGACGGCCUCGG